CACGUAGGGCGCGAGCGUUGUCCGGAAUUAUUGGGCGGAAAGAGCUCGUAGGCGGCCUGUUGCGUCCGCUGUGAAAGCCCGGGGCUUAACCCCGGGUCGGCAGUGGAUACGGGCAGGCUAGAGGUAGGUAGGGGAGAAUGGAAUUCCCGGUGUAGCGGUGAAAUGCGCAGAUAUCGGGAGGAACACCGGUGGCGAAGGCGGUUCUCUGGGCCUUACCUGACGCUAAGGAGCGAAAGCGUGGGGAGCGAACAGG
rnacentral:rRNA from 1 species